CUAAAAGGCAUACAGUAUGACAUGAACAGCUUCAAUGGUGUUGGAUAUUAUAGGGCAAUGAGAAUCCCUUUUUAAGAAGAUGAUAUUAAGCCAGAAAUGGAAUGCAGUAGAAAAAACUACAACUAAACACAGGUUUUUAUAGAGAAACAUUCAAGAGAACGGACAGCCGGCAAACAGGGGUGGCCUGAACCGCUUCGAUUGGGUUCGCCUACCACAGCGCUCUGACUGCAGCUCGGUUCGGUAAAGCUGCAGGCGUAAGGACUGGCAAACUGCAUCCGCAGCGGGCCUCUCGAGAGCAGUGGCGGGGAACCUCGUUACUCGUUACAACAGCGUCGGGCUGUUGACUCAG